rnacentral:sRNA from 1 species
ACAAUGAUACAGACAAUACUGACGUGA